GCCAGUGUGCUCAAUGGUUAGAGCAUUGGCCAGCACACCAAAGGUUGCAGGUUUGAUUCCUGGUCAAGGGCA
rnacentral:tRNA from 1 species